rnacentral:rRNA from 1 species
UAAGGAAUAUUGGACAAUGGAGGCAACUCUGAUCCAGCCAUGCCGCGUGAAGGAAUAAGGCCCUAUGGGUUGUAAACUUCUUUUAGACGGGACAAAACCCCUUUACGUGUAAAGGGUUGAUGGUACUGUCAGAAUAAGCAUCGGCUAACUUCGUGCCAGCAGCCGCGGUAAUACGAAGGAUGCAAGCGUUAUCCGGAAUUAUUGGGUUUAAAGGGUGCGUAGGCGGACUAAUAAGUCAGUGGUGAAAGCCUGCAGCUUAACUGCAGAAUUGCCAUUGAUACUGUUAGUCUUGAGUACAGUUGAGGUAGGCGGAAUGUGUCAUGUAGCGGUGAAAUGCUUAGAUAUGACACAAAACACCGAUUGCGAAGGCAGCUUGCUAAGCUGUAACUGACGCUGAGGCACGAAAGCGUGGGGAGCAAAC